rnacentral:rRNA from 1 species
GACGUAGGGCGCGAGCGUUGUCCGGAUUUAUUGGGCGUAAAGAGCUCGUAGGCGGCUCGUUGCGUCGGCUGGGAAAACCCGCAGCUCAACUGUGGGCUUGCAGCCGAUACGGGCGGGCUGGAGUUCGGUAGGGGAGACUGGAAUUCCUGGUGUAGCGGUGAAAUGCGCAGAUAUCAGGAGGAACACCGGUGGCGAAGGCGGGUCUCUGGGCCGAUACUGACGCUGAGGAGCGAAAGCGUGGGGAGCGAACAGG